rnacentral:rRNA from 1 species
GCGUGGGUGAAGAAGGUCUUCGGAUUGUAAAGCCCUUUCGGCGGGGACGAUGAUGACGGUACCCGCAGAAGAAGCCCCGGCUAACUUCGUGCCAGCAGCCGCGGUAAUACGAAGGGGGCUAGCGUUGCUCGGAAUUACUGGGCGUAAAGGGCGCGUAGGCGGCUUGGUCAGUCAGGCGUGAAAUUCCUGGGCUUAACCUGGGGGCUGCGCUUGAUACGGCCGAGCUUGAGGACGGAAGAGGCUCGUGGAAUUCCCAGUGUAGAGGUGAAAUUCGU